ACCUGGCUGGCUCAGUCAGUGAAGCGUGUGACUCUUGAUCUCAGGGUCAUGAGUUCGUGCCCCAUGUUAGGUG
rnacentral:tRNA from 1 species